rnacentral:rRNA from 1 species
CCUACACAUGCAAGUCGAGCGGUAGCACACAGAGAGCUUGCUCUCGGGUGACGAGCGGCGGACGGGUGAGUAAUGUCUGGGAAACUGCCUGAUGGAGGGGGAUAACUACUGGAAACGGUAGCUAAUACCGCAUAACGUCGCAAGACCAAAGAGGGGGACCUUCGGGCCUCUUGCCAUCAGAUGUGCCCAGAUGGGAUUAGCUAGUAGGUGGGGUAAUGGCUCACCUAGGCGACGAUCCCUAGCUGGUCUGAGAGAACGACCAGCCACACUGGGACUGAGACACGGCCCAGACUCCUACGGGAGGCAGCAGUGGGGAAUUUUGGACAAUGGGCGAAAGCCUGAUCCAGCAAUGCCGCGUGUGGGAAGAAGGCCUUCGGGUUGUAAACCACUUUUGUACGGAACGAAACGGUUCGCUUUAAUACAGUGGGCUAAUGACGGUACCGUAAGAAUAAGCACCGGCUAACUACGUGCCAGCAGCCGCGGUAAUGCGUAGGGUGCGAGCGUUAAUCGGAAUUACUGGGCGUAAAGCGUGCGCAGGCGGUUAUAUAAGACAGUUGUGAAAUCCCCGGGCUCAACCUGGGAAUUGCAUCUGUGACUGUAUAGCUAGAGUACGGUAGAGGGGGAUGGAAUUCCGCGUGUAGCAGUGAAAUGCGUAGAUAUGCGGAGGAACACCGAUGGCGAAGGCAAUCCCCUGGACCUGUACUGACGCUCAUGCACGAAAGCGUGGGGAGCAAGCAGGAUUAGAUACCCUGGUAGUCCACGCCCUAAACGAUGUCAACUGGUUGUUGGGUGCAUUAGUACUCAGUAACGAAGCUAACGCGUGAAGUUGACCGCCUGGGGAG